rnacentral:rRNA from 1 species
GACGUAGGGCGCGAGCGUUGUCCGGAUUUAUUGGGCGUAAAGAGCUCGUAGGCGGCUUGUCGCGUCGAAUGUGAAAACCUGCAGCUCAACUGCAGGCUUGCAUUCGAUACGGGCAGGCUCGAGUUCGGUAGGGGAGACUGGAAUUCCUGGUGUAGCGGUGAAAUGCGCAGAUAUCAGGAGGAACACCGGUAGUGGCAAGGCGGAUCUCUGGGCCGUAAC